rnacentral:rRNA from 1 species
CCUACGGGUGGCAGCAGUGGGGAAUAUUGGACAAUGGGCGAAAGCCUGAUCCAGCCAUGCCGCGUGUGUGAAGAAGGCCUUCGGGUUGUAAAGCACUUUCAGUGGGGAAGAAAGCCUUGGGGCUAAUACCCUCGAGGAAGGACAUCACCCACAGAAGAAGCACCGGCUAACUCCGUGCCAGCAGCCGCGGUAAUACGGAGGGUGCGAGCGUUAAUCGGAAUUACUGGGCGUAAAGCGCGCGUAGGCGGUCUGAUAAGCCGGUUGUGAAAGCCCCGGGCUCAACCUGGGAACGGCAUCCGGAACUGUCAGGCUAGAGUGCAGGAGAGGAAGGUAGAAUUCCCGGUGUAGCGGUGAAAUGCGUAGAGAUCGGGAGGAAUACCAGUGGCGAAGGCGGCCUUCUGGACUGACACUGACGCUGAGGUACGAAAGCGUGGGUAGCAAACAGGAUUAGAUACCCCUGUAGUC